UUAAAGUCGAUGAUCAAAAGAGUACUUUCGGAAGGUACAUCACAGAGAGCUGGCGGUGGUGGAAUGUCAGCAUGGAGAGCCGUAAGGAAUGGGUUUGUGAGAUGCGUAGAUGAAUUAGCAGUAGUUUACGACGUGGCCUCGCGUUACAGGGGAAGGAUAUAUUAAUUGUAUCUGAUAAUGAGUUGAGCAUACAGGUGGCAUAUCCGGUAAGGAGUGCCACCUUUUUUAUUAAUAUUACAAGUAUGUUCAUAAAUAAGGGUGGCACCACGGUAAUUCGUCCCUGAC
rnacentral:ncRNA from 1 species